rnacentral:rRNA from 1 species
GACGAACGCUGGCGGCGUGCUUAACACAUGCAAGUCGAACGGAAAGGCCCUGCUUUUGUGGUGUGCUCGAGUGGCGAACGGGUGAGUAACACGUGAGUAACCUGCCCUUGACUUUGGGAUAACUUCAGGAAACUGGGGCUAAUACCGGAUAGGAGCUCCUGCUGCAUGGUGGGGGUUGGAAAGUUUCGGCGGUUGGGGAUGGACUCGCGGCUUAUCAGCUUGUUGGUUGGGUAGUGGCUUACCCAGGCUUUGACGGAUAGCCGGCCUGUGAGGGUGACCGGCCACAUUGGGACUGAGAUAGGGCCCAGACUGCUACGGGAGGCAGCGGUCGGGAAUAUGACACAGUGGGCGGAAGUCUGAUGCAGCGACGCCGCGUGCGGAAUGCCGGCCUGCGGGUAGAAAAACGCUUUCGCCUGUGACGAAGCGGGAGUGACGGUAAUGAAUAAAGAAGCACCGGCUAACUACGUG